rnacentral:misc_RNA from 1 species
GAUGAAGAACGUAGCGAAAUGCGAUAAGUAAUGUGAAUUGCAGAAUUCAGUGAAUCAUCGAAUCUUUGAACGCACAUUGCGCCCGCCAGUAUUCUGGCGGGCAUGCCUGUUCGAGCGUCAUUUCAACCAUCGAGCCCCGGGCUUGUGUUGGGGACCUGCGGCUGCCGCAGGCCCUGAAAUGCAGUGGCGGGCUCGCUGUCACUCCGAGCGUAGUAGUUACAUCUCGCUCUGGGCGUGCUGCGGGUUCCGGCCGUUAAAAGCCUUAUUUACCCAAGGUUGACCUCGGAUCAGGUAGGAAGACCCGCUGAACUUAAGCAUAUCAAUAAGCGGAGGA